rnacentral:rRNA from 1 species
AACGAACGCUGGCGGCAUGCCUAACACAUGCAAGUCGAACGAGACCUUCGGGUCUAGUUGCGCACGGGUGCGUAACGCGUGGGAACCUGCCCUUAGGUUCGGAAUAACUCCCCGAAAGGGGUGCUAAUACCGGAUAAUGUCUUCGGACCAAAGAUUUAUCGCCUUUGGAUGGGCCCGCGUUGGAUUAGCUAGUUGGUAGGGUAAAAGCCUACCAAGGCGACGAUCCAUAGCUGGUCUGAGAGGAUGAUCAGCCACACUGGGACUGAGACACGGCCCAGACUCCUACGGGAGGCAGCAGUGGGGAAUAUUGGAGAAUGGGCGAAAGCCUGAUCCAGCAAUGCCGCGUGAGUGAUGAAGGCCUUAGGGUUGUAAAGCUCUUUUACCCGGGAUGAUAAUGACAGUACCGGGAGAAUAAGCGCCGGCUAACUACGUG